rnacentral:tRNA from 3 species
GGAAUGUUAGCUCAGCGGGAGAGCAACUGCCUUACAAGCAGUAGGUCAGGGGUUCAAAUCCCUUACAUUCCACCA